UACAGGGGGUGCAAACGUUGCUCGGAAUCAUUGGGCGUAAAGCGCACGUAGGCGGUUCGUUAUGUCGGAUGUGAAAGCCCUUGGCUUAACCGAGGAAGUGCAUCCGAAACUGGCGAGCUAGAGUACGAAAGAGGAUCGCGGAAUUCCCGGUGUAGAGGUGAAAUUCGUAGAUAUCGGGAGGAACACCGGUGGCGAAGGCGGCGAUCUGGGUCGAUACUGACGCUGAGGUGCGAAAGCAUGGGGAGCGAACAGG
rnacentral:rRNA from 1 species